CUAGCCAAUGUAGAAAAGUAAACGCAUAACAAUACGCACAUUUAAAAUUCAGUUCAAGAGAAGUCCGAGUCUGAUGUCAGAAGAUGUAACCAAAGAAAAUAAACAAAAUGACAAUAAUACAUAAAUAACAACAGACUACUAGCAGUUAACUGACAUGCCAGCUCCAGACUUCAAUUAAACUGAUUGAAAGAUUAUGAUUUCAUCAUAUGAAUAUCAGGCACAAUCCUUCCGUUAGGGCUUUAGUAUCAUACCAUCAUAACAUAUAUGAGAAGAACAUAACCCGUGUCAUGCCAACAACUGGUUUUUUUAAUAAAUGUGUUUAGUUCCGAUGCAAAGACCCUAUAAGUGAAUCAAUAUUAACGC
rnacentral:lncRNA from 1 species